CACUGAAACACCGGUUACCGUGCGAUCACUGAAGUUGAGCAACGUCAGGCCUGGUCAGUAUCUAGAUGGGUGACCACUUGUGAAUACCAGGCUCUGUA